CAGCAGCCACGGGAAUACCAGCAGCCCAAGUGGUGGUCGCGCUUAUUGGGCCUAAAGCGCUCGUAGCCUGGCCGGUAAGUUCCCCGUGAAAUCGGGUCGCCCAACGAUUCGGCUUGCGGGGAAUACUGUCGGUCUUGGGGCCGGGAGACGCCGAGGGUACUCCGGGGGUAGCGGUGAAAUGCUGUAAUCCUCGGGGGACUACCAGUGGCGAAGGCGCUCGGCGAUAACGGGCCUGACGGUGAGGGGCGAAAGCUGGGGGCGCGAACGGGAUUAGAUACCCCCGUAGUCCCUGUCUCUUAUA
rnacentral:rRNA from 1 species